ensembl:lncRNA
CUGGAAACAAGAUCUGUAGAGCCGGAGGCUUUAGUGUCUCUGCACAAGUGCACGUUUUGUUACCGAGGCGACAAGAGCCGCCUUGUUAAUUCUUUCCUCUGUGACGGGGGCUGAUUACUAAUACAUGCAGCCGGUCACUGCAGGUCGCUGGAGAUGAUGAACGUCUUGGAGGGGCCGUGUGUGUGUGUGUGUGUGUGUGUGUGUGUGUGUGUGUGUGUGUGUGUGUGUGUGUGGACUCAUGCUUGGCUGUUUUUAUAGCAG